rnacentral:rRNA from 1 species
AGUGAACGCUGGCGGUAGGCCUAACACAUGCAAGUCGAACGGCAGCACAGUAAGAGCUUGCUCUUACGGGUGGCGAGUGGCGGACGGGUGAGGAAUACAUCGGAAUCUACUUUUUCGUGGGGGAUAACGUAGGGAAACUUACGCUAAUACCGCAUACGACCUACGGGUGAAAGCAGGGGAUCUUCGGACCUUGCGCGAUUGAAUGAGCCGAUGUCGGAUUAGCUAGUUGGCGGGGUAAAGGCCCACCAAGGCGACGAUCCGUAGCUGGUCUGAGAGGAUGGCCUGCCCCAUUGGAACUGUGACCCGGUCCCGACCCCCACGGUAGCCAGCAGUGGGGGAUAUUGGACACUGGGCGCAGGUAUUUUCUGGCCUUACCGCGUGGGUGAAGAAGCCCUUCGGGUUGUAGCGCCCUUCUGUUGGCAAAGAAAAGCUGCUGGUUCCGCCUCAGCCGCUCUGACGGCUCCGAAUACAUAAGCACCCCCUAACUUCGUG